AUUUUGUACAAUGGGGGCAACCCUGAUCCAGCCAUCCCGCGUGUGCGAUGAAGGCNUUNNGGUUUNANAGCACUUUUGGCAGGNNNNNAAAGGCGCCGUAUAAUACUUGGCGCCGCUGACGGUACCUGCUGAAUAAGCACCGGCUAACUACGUUCCAGCAGCCGCGGUAAUACGUAGUGUGCAAGCGUUAAUCGGAAUUACUGGGCGUAAAGCGUGCGCAGGCGGUUCGGAAAGAAAGAUGUGAAAUCCAAGGGCUUAACCUUGGAACUGCAUUUUUAACUGCCGGGCUAGAGUAUGUCAGAGGGGGGUAGAAUUCCACGUGUAGCAGUGAAAUGCGUAGAGAUGUGGAGGAAUACCGAUGGCGAAGGCAGCCCCCUGGGAUAAUACUGACGCUCAUGCACGAAAGCGUGGGGAGCAAACA
rnacentral:rRNA from 1 species